rnacentral:rRNA from 1 species
AUGCCGCACGCGCUCACCAGAGGACCGCAACCUGCGCGACUGGUCAACGAGGGGCCGCCCCUGCUUCCCAGGCCAGAACCACUGGCCAUUCCGCUAGCGCACGCCCACCUGCAACAGCCACGGGAGGAUCACGACAUCAGACCACCUAAACACCAGUUUCCUCGCUUCGACGGUGAGGGUCCACGCCUCUGGCUUGAUCGCUGUUUAGCUUAUUUCGAGCUCUAUCACGUGCCAGAGCACAAUUGGGUGGCCACCGCGGUGCUCCAUGUCGAGGGUCAUGCCGCGCUCUGGCUCCGAGCAUUUCGGCAGCAGCAUCCAGUUCUUCAUUGGGAUAUGUUCAGACGUGCUCUGGAGGAGGAGUUUGGACCAGAGGAGUUCGAAUCCAUGAUGCACAAUCUCUUGCAGUUGAGGCAGACCGGCAGUGUGGUGGAUUACAGGCAACAAUUCGAAGUUUACAUGUACAACUUGCUGGCACUGGAUGCAACCCUCAGCCCAAAAUUUUUUGUUACUCAGUUCUUAUUAGGCCUGAAGGAUGAGCUCCGAGCAGCAGUACGCAUUCAAGCACCCAAUAGCAUAACGAGGGCCAUAGUUUUUGCAACGAUUCAGGAAGAAGAGCUUGAAAAUCAGCGUUCCAAGUCGUGA